GACGAACGCUGGCGGCGUGCUUAACACAUGCAAGUCGAGCGGUAAGGCCCCUUCGGGGGUACACGAGCGGCGAACGGGUGAGUAACACGUGAGCAACCUGCCCUUCACAUCGGGAUAACCCCGGGAAACCGGGGCUAAUACCGGAUACGACCACCGACGGCAUCGUCUGGUGGUGGAAAGUUCCGGCGGUGGAGGAUGGGCUCGCGGCCUAUCAGCUUGUUGGUGGGGUAACGGCCCACCAAGGCGACGACGGGUAGCCGGCCUGAGAGGGUGACCGGCCACACUGGGACUGAGACACGGCCCAGACUCCUACGGGAGGCAGCAGUGGGGAAUAUUGGACAAUGGGCGAAAGCCUGAUCCAGCAACGCCGCGUGAGGGAUGACGGCCUU
rnacentral:rRNA from 1 species